GAUGAACGCUGGCGGCGUGCCUAAUACAUGCAAGUCGAGCGAACGGACGAGAAGCUUGCUUCUCUGAUGUUAGCGGCGGACGGGUGAGUAACACGUGGAUAACCUACCUAUAAGACUGGGAUAACUUCGGGAAACCGGAGCUAAUACCGGAUGAUAUUUUGAACCGCAUGGUCCAAAAGUGAAAGACGGUCUUGCUGUCACUUAUAGAUGGAUCCGCGCUGCAUUAGCUAGUUGGUAAGGUAACGGCUUACCAAGGCAACGAUGCAUAGCCGACCUGAGAGGGUGAUCGGCCACACUGGAACUGAGACACGGUCCAGACUCCUACGGGAGGCAGCAGUAGGGAAUCUUCCGCAAUGGGCGAAAGCCUGACGGAGCAACGCCGCGUGAGUGAUGAAGGUCUUCGGAUCGUAAAACUCUGUUAUUAGGGAAGAACAUAUGUGUAAGUAACUGUGCACAUCUUGACGGUACCGAAUCAGAAAGCCACGGCUAACUACGU
rnacentral:rRNA from 1 species